UACGGAGGGUGCAAGCGUUAUCCGGAUUCACUGGGUUUAAAGGGUGUGUAGGCGGGCUAUUAAGUCAGCGGUGAAAUCUCCGGGCUCAACCCGGAAACUGCCAUUGAUACUAUUAGUCUUGAAUAUCGUUGAGGUAGGCGGAAUAUAUCAUGUAGCGGUGAAAUGCAUAGAUAUGAUAUAGAACACCGAUCGCGAAGGCAGCUUGCUAAACGAUGAUUGACGCUGAGGCACGAAAGCGUGGGGAUCAAACAGG
rnacentral:rRNA from 1 species